GAUGAACGCUGACAGCAUGCUUAACACAUGCAAGUCAACUUGGUGGCGGACGGGUGAGUAACGCGUAAAGAACUUGCCUCACCGCUAGGGACAACAUUUAGAAAUGAAUGCUAAUAACUGCUACUGUGAGAGAGCUUUGCGUCCCAUUAGCUAGUUGGCGAGGUAACAGCUCACCAAUGCGAGGAUGGGUAGCCGGCCUGAGAGGGUGAACGGCCACAAGGGGACUGAGACACGGCCGUUAGGCCUACGGGGGGCAGCAGGGGGGAAUAUGGGAGAAUGGACCGAAGUCUGAUCCAGCAAUUCGGUGUGCACGAUGAAGUUUUUCGGAAUGUAAAGUGCUUUCAGUUGGGGAGCGGUACCAAAAGAAGAAGUGACGGCUAAAUACGUGCCAGCAGCCGCGGUAAUUC
rnacentral:rRNA from 1 species